UACGUAGGGGGCAAGCGUUGUCCGGAAUCAUUGGGCGUAAAGCGCGUGUAGGCGGCUAGAUAAGUCUGCUCUGAAAGCCCGGGGCUCAACCCCGGGAGGCGGGUGGAUACUGUCUAGCUCGAGUCCGGAAGAGGGAUGCGGAAUUCCAGGUGUAGCGGUGAAAUGCGUAGAUAUCUGGAGGAACACCGGUGGCGAAGGCGGCAUCCUGGACCGACACUGACGCUGAGGAGCGAAAGCCAGGGGAGCAAACGGG
rnacentral:rRNA from 1 species